rnacentral:rRNA from 1 species
GACGAACGCUGGCGGCGUGCUUAACACAUGCAAGUCGAACGGAAAGGCCCUGCUUUUGUGGGGUGCUCGAGUGGCGAACGGGUGAGUAACACGUGAGUAACCUGCCCUUGACUUUGGGAUAACUUCAGGAAACUGGGGCUAAUACCGGAUAGGAGCUCCUGCUGCAUGGUGGGGGUUGGAAAGUUUCGGCGGUUGGGGAUGGACUCGCGGCUUAUCAGCUUGUUGGUGGGGUAGUGGCUUACCAAGGCUUUGACGGGUAGCCGGCCUGAGAGGGUGAACGGCCACAUUGGGACUGAGAUACGGCCCAGACUCCUACGGGAGGCAGCAGUGGGGAAUAUUGCACAAUGGGCGGAAGCCUGAUGCAGCAACGCCGCGUGCGGGAUGACGGCCUUCGGGUUGUAAACCGCUUUCGCCUGUGACGAAGCGUGAGUGACGGUAAUGGGUAAAGAAGCAACGGCUAACUACGUG